UGGGGAAUAUUGCACAAUGGGGGAAACCCCGAUGCAGCAAUGCCGCGUGAGUGAUGACGGCCUUCGGGUUGUAAAGCUCUGUCUUCAGGGACGAUAAUGACGGUACCUGAGGAGGAAGCCACGGCUAACUACGUGCCAGCAGCCGCGGUAAUACGUAGGGGGCUAGCGUUAUCCGGAAUUACUGGGCGUAAAGGGUGCGUAGGUGGUUUCUUAAGUCAGAGGUGAAAGGCUACGGCUCAACCGUAGUAAGCCUUUGAAACUGGGGAACUUGAGUGCAGGAGAGGAGAGUGGAAUUCCUAGUGUAGCGGUGAAAUGCGUAGAUAUUAGGAGGAACACCAGUUGCGAAGGCGGCUCUCUGGACUGUAACUGACACUGAGGCACGAAAGCGUGGGGAGCAAACAGG
rnacentral:rRNA from 2 species